rnacentral:rRNA from 1 species
UACGUAGGAUGCAAGCGUUGUUAGGAUUUAUUGGGUGUAAAGGGUGCGCAGGCGGUAGAUUAAGUAAGAAUUGAAAUGUCUACGGCUCAACCGAGACACUGCUUCUGAUACUGGUUGACUUGCGUGCGGAAGGGGAGUGUGUAAUUCCUGGUGUAGCGGUGAAAUGCGUAGAUAUCAGUAGGAACACAGGUGUCGAAGGCGACACUCUUGUCCGUAACUGAAGCUCAUUCACGAAAGCCAGGGGAGCGAACGGG